UACGGGGGGGGGCAAGCGUUGUUCGGAAUUACUGGGCGUAAAGGGCUCGUAGGCGGCCAACUAAGUCGGAUGUGAAAUCCCCAGGCUCAACCUGGGAACUGCAUCCGAUACUGGAUGGCUUGAAUCCGGGAGAGGGAUGCAGAAUUCCAGGUGUAGCGGUGAAAUGCGUAGAUAUCUGGAGGAAUACCGGUGGCGAAGGCGGCAUCCUGGACCGGCAUUGACGCUGAGGCGCGACAGCGUGGGGAGCAAACAGG
rnacentral:rRNA from 1 species